AACGAACGCUGGCGGCAGGCUUAACACAUGCAAGUCGAGCGCCCCGCAAGGGGAGCGGCAGACGGGUGAGUAACACGUGGGAAUCUACCCAUCCCUACGGAACAACUCCGGGAAACUGGAGCUAAUACCGUAUACGCCCUUCGGGGGAAAGAUUUAUCGGGGAUGGAUGAGCCCGCGUUGGAUUAGCUAGUUGGUGGGGUAAAGGCCUACCAAGGCGACGAUCCAUAGCUGGUCUGAGAGGAUGAUCAGCCACAUUGGGACUGAGACACGGCCCAAACGCCGACGGGAGGCAGCAGUGGGGAAUAUUGGACGAUGAGCGCAAGCCUGAUCCAGCCAUGCCGCGUGAAUGAUGAAGGCCUUAGGGUUGUAAAGUUCUUUCGCCGAUGAAGAUAAUGACGGUAGUCGGAGAAGAAGCCCCGGCUAACUUCGUGCCAGCCGCCGCCGUAA
rnacentral:rRNA from 1 species